rnacentral:pre_miRNA from 1 species
CGUGCAGCGGUGGGGUCCUUCGGCCUGGCCUGCACUGUCUUGCAAUCCAGGAACCCCUGGGGGGAUGUUGGAGAGCUGGUUUCAGCUUGAUCCUGCAGGCCAGGCUGAGGGACUCCACUGGUGCAAG